rnacentral:misc_RNA from 1 species
UUGCAGGCGGCGGAAGCCGCGCUCGCCAAGGCCGAGGCCGCGCUGCUGCAGGCCUCGCAGCAUGCCAUCCGCAUCGAAACCCUCACCAAGAGCAACGCCGCUUCGCAGGCCUCUAAUGAAGCCGCGAUCGGCAAUCUGGCGCAGGCCAAAGCGGAUCUUGCUGCGCGCAACGCCGACCUGUCGCGCGCGCGCCUCAAUCUCGACUACGCCACCAUCAAGGCGCCGAUCAACGGCAUCAUCGGCGCCGCAUUGCUCAGCGAAGGCGUGCUCGUGGUGC